UAUGAGGUAUAUUUUAUACCACUAUUCCUCAAUCCUGUGUCUAAACAAAAACAAGGAGCAGGGGCGGAUCCAGCCAUUUUCAAAAGGGCAUUAAGAGAGGGACGAAAGAUACCAAAGGGACAGUCAAACUCAUAAAUCUAAAACAAACUGACAACGCCAUGGCUAAAAAUGAAAAAGACAAACAGAAAAACAAUAGUACACAUGACACAACAUAGAAAACUAAAGAAUAAACAACACGAACCCCACC
rnacentral:lncRNA from 1 species